rnacentral:tRNA from 1 species
AGGAUAAUAGUUAAAUUAACAUUUAAUUUGCAUUUAAAAAAUACUGAAGUUCAGUUUAUCUUA